GAUGAACGCUGGCGGCGUGCCUAAUACAUGCAAGUCGAGCGAACAGACGAGGAGCUUGCUCCUUUGACGUUAGCGGCGGACGGGUGAGUAACACGUAGGUAACCUACCUAUAAGACUGGGAUAACUUCGGGAAACCGGCGCUAAUACCGGAUAAUAUUUCGAACCGCAUGGUUCGAUAGUGAAAGAUGGCUUUGCUAUCACUUAUAGAUGGACCUGCGCCGUAUUAGCUAGUUGGUAAGGUAACGGCUUACCAAGGCAACGAUACGUAGCCGACCUGAGAGGGUGAUCGGCCACACUGGAACUGAGACACGGUCCAGACUCCUACGGGAGGCAGCAGUAGGGAAUCUUCCGCAAUGGGCGAAAGCCUGACGGAGCAACGCCGCGUGAGUGAUGAAGGUCUUCGGAUCGUAAAACUCUGUUAUUAGGGAAGAACAAACGUGUAAGUAACUGUGCACGUCUUGACGGUACCUAAUCAGAAAGCCACGGCUAACUACGUG
rnacentral:rRNA from 1 species